AAAAGCUCCGGCGGUAUGAGAUGGAUCCGCGUCUGAUUAGCUGGUUGGCGGGGUAACGGCCCACCAAGGCGACGAUCAGUAGCCGACCUGAGAGGGUGGCCGGCCACAUUGGGACUGAGACACGGCCCAAACUCCUACGGGAGGCAGCAGUGGGGAAUAUUGCACAAUGGGGGAAACCCUGAUGCAGCAACGCCGCGUGGGUGAAGAAGUAUUUCGGUAUGUAAAGCCCUAUCAGCAGGGAAGAGAAUGACGGUACCUGACUAAGAAGCCCCGGCUAACUACGUGCCAGCAGCCGCGGUAAUACGUAGGGGGCAAGCGUUAUCCGGAUUUACUGGGUGUAAAGGGAGCGUAGACGGUUGUGCAAGUCUGAAGUGAAAGCCCGCGGCUCAACUGCGGAACGGCUUUGGAAACUGUGUAACUGGAGUGCUGGAGAGGUAAGCGGAAUUCCUGGUGUAGCGGUGAAAUGCGUAGAGAUCAGGAGGAACACCGGCGGCGAAGGCGGCUUACUGGACAGUAACUGACGUUGAGGCUCGAAAGCGUGGGGAGCAAACAGGAUUAGAUACCCUGGUAGUCCACGCGGUAAACGAUGAAUGCUAGGUGU
rnacentral:rRNA from 1 species